rnacentral:lncRNA from 1 species
CCGCCCCCCCCCCGCUCCCUCACGUCUCCUCACGCUCCCCCCUCUCCCUCCCUCUCCCUCCUCCCAUCGUCAGGCUCCCCGCCCUUAGUAUCGCGAGACGAGGUGAGAGUGGCGGAGCGGCGGCGGCGGCGGCGCAGUAGAGGUGACCGAGGCGGUGGCGGCGGAGGCGGCACCGAGUGGUGUGUCGGCCCCGGUGAGGCCGAAGUCGCGGUAGAGCGUAGCCCCCACGCCCCUCCCCCGCCCGCGCCCUCCUCUUUCCCCGGGGAUGGAGAAGGCGACGGUUCCGGUGGCGGCGCGGCGGCGGCGGCUGAGGGAGAAGGGAGCCACCCGCGCGGUGGUGGCUGUGGCGGGGCCCCCCGCGGCGGCGGCGGCGGUGGAGGUCGGCGGAGGCGUUGGCGGCGGCAGCGGGGCUCGCUCGGCCUCGUCUCCUCGUGGGUGGUGCGAGUCUGCGACCUGCUCCUGAGAAGAAGAAGCCGCCGCAGCAGCAACACCACAAGGCCAAGCGUAACCGGACUUGCCGACCCCCCAGCAGCAGCGAAAGCAGCAGCGACAGCGACAACAGCGGCCGGCGGUGGAGGCGGAGGAGGAGGAGGUGGCGGCGGCGGCGGCCACAGCACAAACAACGUGAGGAAGAAGAGGACGACGACGACGAGGAAGAGGAGGUGCUGUUGUCGCUGUCGCUGCUGCUUUCGCUGCUGCUGGGGGGUCGGCAAGUCCGGUUACGCUUGGCCUUGUGGUGUUGCUGCUGCGGCGGCUUCUUCUUCAGGAGCAGGUCGCAGACUCGCACCAUCCCACGAGGAGACGAGCCGAGCGAGCCCCGCUGCCGCCGCCAACGCCUCCGCCGACCUCCACCGCCGCCGCCGCCGCGGGGGGCCCGCCACAGCCACCACCGCCGGGGGCUCCCUUCUCCCUCAGCCGCCGCCGCCGCGCCGCCACCGGAACCGUCGCCUUCUCCAUCCCCGGGGAAAGAGGGAGGGCGCGGGCGGGGGAGGGGCGUGGGGGCUACGCUCUACCGCGACUUCGGCCUCACCGGGGCCGACACAGCCACUCGGUGCCGCCUCCGCCGCCACCGCCUCGGUCACCUCUACUGCGCCGCCGCCGCCGCCGCUCCGCCAGCUCUCACCUCGUCUCGCGAUACUAAGGGCGGGGAGCCUGACGAGGGAGGGAGGGAGAGGGAGGGAGAGGGGGGAGCGUGAGGAGCGUGAGGGAGCGGGGGGGGGGCGGUUAGAGGCAAAGAGGGAGACCGGGUGUCGGGAGACCCAGCGGAAGGGAGACUACCCAGAGACCAGGGAAGUGUGCCUAAGGCGACUUCCGAUGGGGGGACGGUGA